UGUUCAAAUCUGAGCAACUUAAUUCCAAACUUAGCUAAUCCUUAGCCUAGGCAUAGGAAAAUGAGACAUUUAUUGGCUCAGGAAAGCAAACUGGCAGAAGGACAAAAAUACAGUUGUCACCAAGGACAACUGGCCCCAGGGUAGGAAUGCUGCUGGGUUCCUCUCUUUCAUUGCCAUUUUUGUCCGUAUGUCAGCUUCCUUCUCUAGGACCAGAGUUCUCAAGGUACCUAUCACAACAACUUUCAGUGGCCCCUGCCUCCCCUGUGAACAACUUCCCAACCAGCAAAGAGGAGUCUCUCCCUACAUCAAAGUCCUCCAUCCUUCUCCUCCUAGUGAAAACAUGAGGAAAGAUUCCAAAUGACUAGACUCUCCUCUUGCAUUCAAGUCCUGGGUCAGGAGGGUUGCCGUAAUUAGUCCAGCUUCUGUCAGAUGGCCACUCUGAGGUCAGUCAGUGUAGCCCAGGAGAUUAAGGUCACAUAACAUGAGGCGGUUUCCAGUCAGUCCAAAUGCUGGAGGUUGGGAUUGGGGAGCAGUUUCCUACAACAAAGGGGUUAUCACAGAUAAUAUUUCUGUGAGCAAGGCAGCCCCGGUGAUUUGACUCUGCUAUAGUAGCUGCUGGCCUGAGGCCAAGUUACUUUAACCUCCUUAGUUUCCUAAAGUAUACAAUUGGUAAAUUGUAAUAUUUAACUCAGAAUUAUUGUGAGGAGUUAUUAAAUUAAUACAUGAUAAAGUACCUUAAAAACACAAAAUGCUUACAAACGAAUACAUUUUCAGUUUUUUCCUCAGAUUAGAUUCAGAUAUAUUUCUGGAAUCUGGUGUGAGCCAGUGAAGAACUGCCUUUCCCUCAGCCUCAUUUUAAGCAUUAGAUGCUGGCCAGUGAAUUUAUCAGUUAAUAAUUCUUUGGGAAAGGUUCUAAUAAUUAGCAGGUUAUUUGUAGCAAAUAUACCAGAUCAAAUGUAAAACGAUAUGUUAGCAAUAAUUAGGUCUAGCAAUUUAAAAUAUCAAGCCUAAAAGAGCAAGAGUUUAUUCUAUCUCAUCAGAAAAACAGCCAUUUCUACUCCAUAAUGUGAUAUCUAAAUUAUGAACUAUUCCAAAGAAAUGUGUUUUCCAGAGAAUGUAGCUGAAUACUUAUCUAGAAUAGGAAAGUAAAUUUUACUUUGUGUUCCUUACUCGAAGCAUUCCUUUCCUUAAUACUGAUUUACCUAUGUGGGAGGCUGGCAACACAAAUUCCAUGCUGUUGAAAAGGAAACGAAGGUGGAAAUAUUUAGCAGCUCACCUACAGUGGUUAGUGACAUCACUCAAGUAAUGACACCAAGUGAAAAAUCCUUCUCUUCCAUCCCCAAAUUCAGGACUUUCACUAUUUCUUGAAUUAAUUGACUGUUCUUAAUUCCAUAGCAUUUGACUUUGGAAUUGAAAUAUGUGGUAUUCGAUGCAGUUCAUAAAGCAGGCAGGUAGCUCUCCAUGUGUGUAAGGCCUCCUUAAACUACUAGCUUCUGUUGUAUUUCCCUGCCUCAAGCAACUUUUCUCUGGUGGGAGAAGGUCAGGGUUGACACUGAAUUUCUCAGUGUCAAUCCCACCUACUUUAUCCCACCUGAAGCUAUUCUUAAGAAAAUAAAGCAACCCUGCCUCAUCCUUGGCACACUAAACACAAACUCCAAUCUCAUCUCCCCUGGGAUGGCCUCUAUGAACUCUCAAGCCUGGUCAGAUGAUCCUCCUUUGGGUCUCAAAGUACACUGGGCUUGUCCCUUGUCUAUUUUCUUCAGCAUGUAUGUAUCUUCAGUGCCUAACAAUGUGCGUACUAUUUAUUAAUCAACGAAUAUUUAUUGGGCAUCCACAAUAUAUCAGGCUUUAUUCUAGUAGUUGUAGAAGUUGAUACUUGAAACAUGAAUGAAUGAAUAAGAUUCCCAAUUCCAUCUGCAGAUGGGAUUAGGAACCAGUCAUAUACCAUAAGUUUGGGCUCUCCCAGGCCCAUCAGGUUAUAAUAGCUUCCAUUAACCUCCACUGUUCUUGUCCAGCCAUUAUAACUGGGCCUUUCUGAAAUUUUCUACUAGUUCUUUAAGCGUUUGUUUACAGCUACAAUUCUGCACCCUAAUCCACUUGGCAAGAAAAGAGCUUUUGCUUAUUUCUUGAUAGUCUCCUUCUCCUAGGGGCUGUGUCUAGCAUAAGUGUUAUGAGCCACCUGAACCAUGAUGCCUCUACCCAUUGAACAUCAACACAGCCCCACCCAUUGUCUACAGUGGCCAUUUCAAUGUCCAUUAUUCCUAAGCCUCCUGGGUCACCACUGCCACCUCUCUCUCAAGAGAUGAUCUCAACUUCCAUCAUGUAGAAUAAAUAGAAGACAUUAGGUACAAACAUCCUCAAAUUUAUAUCUGUACAUCUUCAAAAUUAUCUGCCCCUAUACCUAUUGUGUCCUUAUUUCCUAUUUUCAUUAUGGAAAAUGUCUCUCCUCUGCUGGAAAAAAAUUAAGCUCCCAACCUUAGUUCUGGAUCCCAUUCCCUCCCUCUGUCUCUGGCUUUGAAACACAACUGUUAUUUGAAUGUAUAAGUUCCUUAUAAAUCAGACCUAUUAACUUUUCAUAUAGUACCUAAAAAUUCUCUGUAGUAGUUGAGAAGGUAACAAAGCAAUGUUCCCAGUAAAGGUUUUUAUAAACCAUAGUUUCUCCACCUCAGCACCAUUGACAUUUUGUAAGGGAUAAUGGGGAAGCCAGGGUGGGUUGUGGGGAG
rnacentral:lncRNA from 1 species